GACGAACGCUGGCGGCGUGCUUAACACAUGCAAGUCGAACGGAAAGGCCCUGCUUUUGUGGGGUGCUCGAGUGGCGAACGGGUGAGUAACACGUGAGUAACCUGCCCUUGACUUUGGGAUAACUUCAGGAAACUGGGGCUAAUACCGGAUAGGAGCUCCUGCUGCAUGGUGGGGGUUGGAAAGUUUCGGCGGUUGGGGAUGGACUCGCGGCUUAUCAGCUUGUUGGAGGGGUAGUGGCUUACCAAGGCUUUGACGGGUAGCCGGCCUGAGAGGGUGACCGGCCACAUUGGGACUGAGAUACGGCCCAGACUCCUACGGGAGGCAGCAGUGGGGAAUAUUGCACAAUGGGCGGAAGUCUGAUGCAGCAACGCCGCGUGCGGGAUGACGGCCUUCGGGUUGUAAACCGCUUUCGCCUGUGACGAAGCGUGAGUGACGGUAAUGGGUAAAGAAGCACCGGCUAACUACGUG
rnacentral:rRNA from 1 species